rnacentral:rRNA from 2 species
CCAAUAGCGUAUAUUAAAGUUGUUGCAGUUAAAAAGCUCGUAGUUGAAUUUCGGGAUUGACACAUCGGUCGUGCCCUAAGGGGUAUGAACUGGUGUAGUCAAUUUCUCACCUUCUGGAGAACCGCGCUGUCCUUAAUUGGGUGACGCGGGGAACCAGGACCUUUACUUUGAAAAAAUUAGAGUGUUUAAAGCAGGCAUUU